AAUAGGGUGAAAACGUCUCCAUUACUAUAGAAGCAGGUUACAAGGAAUGAAAAUGACACUCACAAUUCUCUGUUUCGAGAACUGAGUAUUCAUGCAUCAAGAACCCAAGCCAAUUCCAGUCCAUUUUCUACAAAACUCUUUACUGCUACACCACAUCCAAGCCGGCUUACUUCAAAUCCAAAAUCUAUUUUAAUUCCCAUAUUCGUGGAUCGAGGCCUAACCUUCCUUAGAAGAGACUCAAUUAAUUUGGAGCUUCGAUGGAAGAUGGACGAGAGAUUUUCUUUCCCUGUGACAAUGAAAAUUCGAUAAGCCAUAUUUGCAAAAAUAAAAAGUUAACAAGUGUUGGUGGUAAAUGAUGAAUGGGAAGAAUUAUAGUUUGAAGAAGUGGUAAUAGGGGUAGAUGAACAUGCGACUUGGGGUUGUUAAAAUGAGGGGGAUGCCCACUGAUUUCAUGGUUGGACCUACACUGCCAACUAUGAUCGGCAGAUUGCACAACGAACUAUGGCGAUGUUAAUUGACCGUGGGCCACCCAAAAUUUUAGUCUCAUAGGCCUUGUUCAAAGUUUGGAAAUUGUGCAGAUGGGCGCUCCAGUUAUAGAGUUUACAUGGAUACUAUGCUAAUGAUAGUAGGCAAGUCUACCCACUGCUUCGAGCUGAAAUAUCCUCUUCAUGCUUUGACAAUAGAUGGGGUUCUUGCGGAGGAAAUUUUUGGGCUAAACCAUAUGUCAAAUUUAUAAUUUGCCUGCAAAUUUUGAGGUCGGGAUAUUGAUAGAAUUCCACAGGUUACAUAGGGGAGGGUAUUACAGCUUUGUUCACUCCUAACAGGGACAAAGAUACCUUGGCCAGAGUGGACAAAGAUAGUAAUAUAAAAAUAAAAAAUAAAAAAUAAACAAACAAACUUAUAUGGCUUCAUUUCAUUUGGACACUGGGUUGGGUUAUUAUCACUUCUUUUCAUUUUGACAGCACUUCA
rnacentral:lncRNA from 1 species